rnacentral:rRNA from 1 species
UAGGGAAUCUUCCGCAAUGGGCGAAAGCUUGACGGAGCAACGCCGCGUGAGUGAUGAAGGUCUUCGGAUCGUAAAACUCUUUUAUUAGGGAAGAACAAAUGUGUAAGUAACUAUGCACGUCUUGACGGUACCUAAUCAGAAAGCCACGGCUAACUACGUGCCAGCAGCCGCGGUAAUACGUAGGUGGCAAGCGUUAUCCGGAAUUAUUGGGCGUAAAGCGCGCGUAGGCGUUUUUUUAAGUCUGAUGUGAAAGCCCACGGCUCAACCGUGGAGGGUCAUUGGAAACUGGAAAACUUGAGUGCAGAAGAGGAAAGUGGAAUUCCAUGUGUAGCGGUGAAAUGCGCAGAGAUAUGGAGGAACACCAGUGGCGAAGGCGACUUUCUGGUCUGUAACUGACGCUGAUGUGCGAAAGCGUGGGGAUCAAACAGG